rnacentral:rRNA from 1 species
ACGAACGCUGGCGGCGUGCUUAACACCUGCAAGUCGAACGGAAAGGCCCUGCUUUUGUGGGGUGCUCGAGUGGCGAACGGGUGAGUAACACGUGAGUAACCUGCCCUUGACUUUGGGAUAACUUCAGGAAACUGGGGCUAAUACCGGAUAGGAGCUCCUGCUGCAUGGUGGGGGUUGGAAAGUUUCGGCGGUUGGGGAUGGACUCGCGGCUUAUCAGCUUGUUGGUGGGGUAGUGGCUUACCAAGGCUUUGACGGGUAGCCGGCCUGAGAGGGUGACCGGCCACAUUGGGACUGAGAUACGGCCCAGACUCCUACGGGAGGCAGCAGUGGGGAAUAUUGAACAAUGGGCGGAAGCCUGAUGCAGCAACGCCGCGUGCGGGAUGACGGCCUUCGGGUUGUAAACCGCUUUCGCCUGUGACGAAGCGUGAGUGACGGUAAUGGGUAAAGAAGCACCGGCUAACUACGUG